rnacentral:rRNA from 1 species
CCUACGGGAGGCAGCAGUGGGGAAUAUUGCACAAUGGGCGGAAGCCUGAUGCAGCGACGCCGCGUGAGGGAUGAAGGCCUUCGGGUUGUAAACCUCUUUCAGCAGGGACGAAGCGUGAGUGACGGUACCUGCAGAAGAAGCACCGGCUAACUACGUGCCAGCAGCCGCGGUAAUACGUAGGGUGCGAGCGUUGUCCGGAAUUACUGGGCGUAAAGAGUUCGUAGGCGGUUUGUCGCGUCGUUUGUGAAAACCCGGGGCUCAACUUCGGGCUUGCAGGCGAUACGGGCAGACUUGAGUGUUUCAGGGGAGACUGGAAUUCCUGGUGUAGCGGUGAAAUGCGCAGAUAUCAGGAGGAACACCGGUGGCGAAGGCGGGUCUCUGGGAAACAACUGACGCUGAGGAACGAAAGCGUGGGUAGCAAACAGGAUUAGAUACCCUGGUAGUCCACGCCGUAAACGGUGGCGCUAGGUGUGGGUUCCUUCCACGGAAUCUGUGCCGUAGCUAACGCAUUAAGCGCCCGCCUGGGGAGUACGGCCGCAAGGCUAAAACUCAAAGGAAUUGACGG